CCUACGGGAGGCAGCAGUGGGGAAUUUUGCACAAUGGGGGAAACCCUGAUGCAGCGACGCCGCGUGAGUGAAGAAGUAUCUCGGUACGUAAAGCUCUAUCAGCAGGGAAGAAAAUGACGGUACCUGACUAAGAAGCCCCGGCUAACUACGUGCCAGCAGCCGCGGUAAUACGUAGGGGGCAAGCGUUAUCCGGAUUUACUGGGUGUAAAGGGAGCGUAGACGGCAGCACAAGUCUGGAGUGAAAUCCCGGGGCUUAAACACGGAACUGCAUUGGAAACUGUACGGCUGGAGUGCAGGAGGGGUAAGCGGAAUUCCUGGUGUAGCGGUGAAAUGCGUAGAUAUAAGGAGGAACACCGGUGGCGAAGGCGGCUUACUGGACUGUAACUGACGUUGAGGCUCGAAAGCGUGGGGAGCAAACAGGAUUAGAUACCCCUGUAGUC
rnacentral:rRNA from 1 species